GAUGAACGCUGGCGGCGUGCCUAACACAUGCAAGUCGAACGGAGAGCUCAUGACAGAGGAUUCGUCCAAUUGAUAAGGUCACUUAGUGGCGGACGGGUGAGUAACGCGUGAGGAACCUGCCUUGGAGUGGGGAAUAACACAGUGAAAAUUGUGCUAAUACCGCAUAAUGCAGUUGGGCCGCAUGGCUCUGACUGCCAAAGAUUUAUCGCUCUGAGAUGGCCUCGCGUCUGAUUAGCUAGUUGGUGGGGUAACGGCCCACCAAGGCGACGAUCAGUAGCCGGACUGAGAGGGUUGGCCGGCCACAUUGGGACUGAGACACGGGCCCAGACUCCUACGGGAGCAGCAGU
rnacentral:rRNA from 1 species